rnacentral:rRNA from 1 species
AGUGAACGCCGGCGGUAGGCCUAACACAUGCAAGUCGAACGGCAGCACAGUAAGAGCUUGCUCUUACGGGUGGCGAGUGGCGGACGGGUGAGGAAUACAUCGGAAUCUACUUUUUCGUGGGGGAUAACGUAGGGAAACUUACGCCAAUACCGCAUACGACCUACGGGUGAAAGCAGGGGAUCUUCGGACCUUGCGCGAUUGAAUGAGCCGAUGUCGGAUUAGCUAGUUGGCGGGGUAAAGGCCCACCAAGGCGACGAUCCGUAGCUGGUCUGAGAGGAUGAUCAGCCACACUGGAACUGAGACACGGUCCAGACUCCUACGGGAGGCAGCAGUGGGGAAUAUUGGACAAUGGGCGCAAGCCUGAUCCAGCCAUACCGCGUGGGUGAAGAAGGCCUUCGGGUUGUAAAGCCCUUUUGUUGGGAAAGAAAAGCAGCAGGUUAAUACCCCGCUGUUCUGACGGUACCCAAAGAAUAAGCACCGGCUAACUUCGUG